ACAAGCGGUGGAGUAUGUGGUUUAAUUCGAUGCAACGCGAAGAACCUUACCUGGUCUUGACAUCCCGGAGACCCUUAGGAAACUAGGGGGUGCUUCCAUCUGGAAGAAUCUGGAGACAGGUGCUGCAUGGCUGUCGUCAGCUCGUGUCGUGAGAUGUUGGGUUAAGUCCCGCAACGAGCGCAACCCUUGCCUUUAGUUGCCAGCAGUUCGGCUGGGCACUCUAAAGGGACUGCCGGUGUUAAACCGGAGGAAGGUGGGGAUGACGUCAAGUCCUCAUGGCCUUUAUGACCAGGGCUACACACGUACUACAAUGGCCGAUACAAAGGGCAGCGACACUGCGAGGUGAAGCCAAUCCCGUAAAAUCGGUCUCAGUCCGGAUUGGAGUCUGCAACUCGACUCCAUGAAGUUGGAAUCGCUAGUAAUCGUGGAUCAGCAUGCCACGGUGAAUACGUUCCCGGGUCUU
rnacentral:rRNA from 1 species